GCAAACUUGGUCAUUUAGAGGAAGUAAAAGUCGUAACAAGGUCUCCGUUGGUGAACCAGCGGAGGGAUCAUUACAGAGUAUUACACUCCCUAACCCAUCGUGAACAUACCUUUUGUUGCUUCGGCGGUGCCGCCCCCGGAGCCCUUCGGGGCCCGGAUCAGGCGCCCGCCGGAGGCCCCAAACCUCUGAAUUACCAUUGUGGAAACUCUGAGUGGCGAAAGCAAAAAACGAAUCAAAACUUUCAACAACGGAUCUCUUGGUUCUGGCAUCGAUGAAGAACGCAGC
rnacentral:misc_RNA from 1 species